rnacentral:rRNA from 1 species
GACGAACGCUGGCGGCGUGCUUAACACAUGCAAGUCUACGAGAAUAAGGUAGCAAUAUCUUUAGUAAAGUGGCGCACGGGUGAGUAACACGUAAGUAACCUACCUUUAGAUUUGGAAUAACCCCGAGAAAUCGGGGCUAAUACCGAAUGAUGCAGCGGCACCACAUGGUGAUGUCGUUAAAGUCUAUAUGACGUCUAAAGAUGGGCUUGCGUCUGAUUAGCUAGUUGGUGAGGUAACGGCUCACCAAGGCUACGAUCAGUAGCUGGUCUGAGAGGAUGAUCAGCCACACUGGAACUGAGACACGGUCCAGACUCCUACGGGAGGCAGCAGUGAGGAAUAUUGGGCAAUGCCCGAAAGGGUGACCCAGCAACGCCGCGUGGAGGAUGAAUGCCGUAAGGUUGUAAACUCCUGUUAGAGGGGAAGAAAAAUCUCGAUCAAAUCGAGAACUGACUGUACCCUCAGAGAAAGCCCCGGCUAACUACGUGCCAGCAGCCGCCGUAAAAC